rnacentral:rRNA from 1 species
AACGAACGCUGGCGGCAGGCUUAACACAUGCAAGUCGAGCGCCCCGCAAGGGGAGCGGCAGACGGGUGAGUAACGCGUGGGAAUCUACCCAUCUCUACGGAAUAACGCAUGGAAACGUGUGCUAAUACCGGAUACGUCCUUCGGGAGAAAGAUUUAUCGGAGAUGGAUGGGCCCGAGUUGGAUUAGCUAGCUGGUGGGGUAAAGGCCUACCAAGGCGACGAUCCAUAGCUGGUUGGAGAGGAUGAUCAGCCACACUGGGACUGAGACACGGCCCAGACUCCUACGGGAGGCAGCAGUGGGGAAUAUUGGACAAUGGGCGCAAGCCUGAUCCAGCCAUGCCGCGUGAGUGAUGAAGGCCCUAGGGUUGUAAAGCUCUUUCACCGGUGAAGAUAAUGACGGUAACCGGAGAAGAAGCCCCGGCUAACUUCGUGCCAGCCGCCGCAGUAAGAC